GGUAUUCAGAAAGUCAAACACUUUUUGUUUCGAGUGGGUCAUAUCAUCAGAUAUCUCAACAUCAGAAUUAUCCUCUUCACUGCAAUGUAAAAGACUUCUCAAGGAUUUUGAUGAAGAUGUGUUUUUUGCAGUUCUCAAGUGAAAUAAAGAUUUUUCUUUUAAUAGUUUUGCGAGCAUAGAAUAAGUGAAAAUUUGAAGGAACACUUCCAGGCAAAUAUGGAAAGAAUCACAAAUGGAGACGCCGUCCAAUAAAUUUUUCCCUGCCAACAUGUGAGGAACGGAUAUAUCAUUCCAACAAACAUAUUUAGCUGCUGUCAGAAUCGGUGAAAUACUUCUCUCUCUUCAUAUGACAUAUGGUGAAGAGUACUUUGCAACUGUCAUCAAAGCGCCACCAGGAUACAUAGCACAAAUUUUCCUAACAGUCUGAAGCUCUGUUUUCAAUUAGCAAAACAUGCAAGAAUACAAAAUCUGACAAGAAUCUGACGAAUAAACACACUUUAACUAAUCCCUUUCAGUGUGUAAAAAAUAAUGACUAAAUAAACACCAUUAUUUUAUUUUUUAGGUGUUUUGAAGGUAAAAAAAAAAAAAAAAUGUUUCAACAUUUCAGCAACUUGUGCCAUUUUCAAGAUAUUUAUUUUUAAAACAUUUUAAAUUCUUAAUUUAAUUUUUUAAGAGAUAAAUGUCUUGAACUGGUAAUAGCUCUACCUACAAGCUGGCUGGGAACAAAGUCUUGAAAAUGACACAAGUCGUUAAUAAUUUCAUUUAAAUUGUAUCUCCAAAAAAGCCUAAAAUAAAAAAUAAUUUUCAUACCAAAAAAGAAGAAAAUAAAUAAACAUUUUUUCAAAACACAAGAAAAAUUAAAUUACUGAAAAAUGCUACGGACUUGUGGUACGGAAUAUGUGUAUUGAA